rnacentral:tRNA from 1 species
GGGCGGUUAGCUCAGUUGGUAGAGCAUCUCCCUUACAAGGAGGAGGUCGUUGGUUCGAGUCCAAUACCGCCCACCA